rnacentral:rRNA from 1 species
CCAAUAGCGUAUAUUAAAGUUGUUGCAGUUAAAAAGCUCGUAGUUGAAUUUCGGGGUUAGUAGGCUGGUCGUGCCACUGGUAUGUACUGGUCUCACUGAUUCCUCCUUCCUGAUGAGCUGUGAUGCCAUUAAUUUGGUGUUGCAGGGAAUCUGGACUGUUACUUUGAAAAAAUUAGAGUGUUUAAAGCAGGCUAACGCUUGAAUACAUUAGCAUGGAAUAAUGAAAUAGGACGUUCGAUCCUAUUUUGUUGGUUUCUAGGAUUGACGUAAUGAUUAAUAGGGAUAGUUGGGGGCAUUAGUAUUCAAUUGUCAGAGGUGAAAUUAUUGGAUUUAUUGAAGACUAACUACUGCGAAAGCAUUUGCCAAGGAUGUUUUCAUUAAUCAAGAACGAAAGUUAGGGGAUCGAAGACGAUCAGAUACCGUCGUAGUCUUAACCAUAAACUAUGCCGACUAGGGAUCGGAUGAUGUUAAUUUUUUAAUGACUCAUUCGGCGCCUUACG